CCAGGUGAAUAGAGCAGGUGGGAGCCUGGAGGAGCAAGGGAAGCUCCAGGGAGCUCAGGGGACCAGAGCAGAGCAGUCCCAGGUAAACAGAGCAGGUGGAAAGCAGGAGGAGCAGGGACAGCUCCCGGGAGCUCAGGGGACCAGGGCAGAGCAGUCCCAGGUGAAUAGAGCAGGUGGGAGGCUGGAGGAGCAGGGGGGAGCUCAGGGAUCCAGGGCAGAGCUAUCCCAGGUGAAUAGAGCAGGUGGGAGGUUGGAGGAGCAGGGGCAGCUCCCGGGAGCUCAGGGGACCAGGGCAGAGGAGUCCCAGCUCAACAGAGCAGGUGGGAGGCUGGAGGAACAGGGGGCAGCUCCAGGAGCUUAGGGGACCAGGGCAGAGCAGUCCCAGGUGAAUAGAGCAGGUGGGAGGCUGGAGGAGCAGGGACAGCUCCCGGGAGCUCAGGGGACCAGGACAGAGCAGUCCCAGGUGAAUACAGCAGCUGGGAGGCAGGAGGAGCAGGGGCAGCUCCGGGGAGCUCACGGGACCAGGGCAGAGCAAUCCCAGGUGAAUAGAGCAGGUGGGAGGCAGGAGGAGCAGGGGGAGCUCAGGGGAUUGGGCAAAGCAGUCCCCGGUGAAUAGAGCAGGUGGGAGGCAGGAGGAGCAGGGGCAGCUCCGGGGAGCUCAGGGGACCAGGGCAGAGCAGUCCCAGCUCAACAGAGCAGGUGGGAGGCUGGAGGA